rnacentral:rRNA from 1 species
UACGAAGGGUGCAAGCGUUACUCGGAAUUACUGGGCGUAAAGCGUGCGUAGGCGGUUUCUUAAGUCCAUUGUGAAAGCCCCGGGCUCAACCUGGGAAUGGCAGUGGAUACUGGGAAGCUGGAGUGCGGUAGAGGAGGGUGGAAUUCCCGGUGUAGCGGUGAAAUGCGUAGAGAUCGGGAGGAACACCAGUGGCGAAGGCGGCCCUCUGGACCAGCACUGACGCUGAGGCACGAAAGCGUGGGGAGCAAACAGG